AAAAAAUAUACGCUCGACACCAAAAUAUACGCCACCACCAAGGCUCCAAUCACCAUCGAUCACUACCGCCGAUAGAAAGGCUAAGGAUGAACUAAUUUUGGGGUUUUAUUUAUUUUAGUUUGAUGAAUCCAUGCACAAAACACGUCCUGUUACAAUCUGAGAUCAAAAUCAAAAGAAGCCACACUCGAAUAACCAGAAGAAGAAGAGGAUCAGGUUAGAAGGCUUUCUGCCUGUUAGACAAUGGAUUCUGCUGCUACAAUUUGCAGUGAUAUAAUUGGGACAUUGACAUUAAACUUGAUGACUGUGGUUGAGGCAUAUAUUUGCAAGUCAGAACUACCCUCCUGAUUUGCAUCUUUUCUCAUUAAAGCCAAAACUCAAAUUAGUGGGAACCCUCGGUCCCAUGUACCGUCUUGGUACCCGGAGUGCAUACCGCAUAGAACCCAUGCCCGCUAAGUGACCAUCCUCACACAUGGAUCACAAGUUCUGAACUUGUGACCUUUAUCUAUCUAGGCAUAGUUUUUAAGUAAUUGUUUUUUAUUUUUGAUAGGGUGGUGGUAAUGUUGAAGUGUCUGGAUCACCAAUAGAAAAAGCUAUACUCCAAUGGGGGGUUAAUGUUAGUACUUAGUACCUAUACUCAGGUUUUAUUUGUUUUUUGUUUCAUGUGUUUCUCCAUGAUGCUUAUCACAUGCAGCUUGGAAUGAUUUUUGAUGUCAUUACGUCAGAAUUUACAAACAGUUUAUGCAUUUCUAUUUAAUCCAGAGAAAAAAACGUGGCAGUGAAAAGGUUAAAAAUAUGUGUUUUACUUAUGUUUGGCUCUACGAUAUGUUAUCUUUUGAGAUUUUCCUUUGUUCUAUUGCCUGAUUCUGAAUUUGGUAUACGCUGGAAAGGAGCUGCUGAAAUUGUGUUAGCUGCAUGUGCCAGCUACAUGGAUGCCAUUAGGACCUUGGUGCCUUUAGACACUGAUAAGGAUUUGAAAAAGCAACUGUUAUAAUAUUUUCUUCUUUCUUAAAACCAUCAAUAGCUCUUCACUGUUUUUUAUCUCUUAUUUUGUUAUUACUGUUUAGGUGGAGUAUAUUAAAAAAGCUAUUGAAACUAUGGCUAUCGGAAGUCUGCUUUGUGUUGCUAGUGCCUAUUGAAUUGUAAGAGGCGAAGCUUUUCCAACUGAUGGGAAAUGCCUGAGGACGAUCAUCUUGUUUUGCUAGCAAUCAUUAGUUUAAGGCUGUCCAUUUUCAGCCACACACAUUGUUGAUGAGAUGCCAAAACCAUCAUAAUGAUGGAGCAUCUGGAAAGUUGAUGAUCAAGUGAAUUUUAGUUGUCUUAAAGUGUCUCAUGGCUUAAAGUGUACCAUUCUUUCACGCUCUGAUCUGAAGAGGCCUUCUAGCCUUUCACUGUUGGGGAUUCUGUGCAACUAAAGACACGGGACAACAUAAUGGCUGAAAGUCUGAAACAAAUCAGAUCUACUUAUUCUAUAGCCAAUAAAGAUUGAGAUGAGAACCAGCUUUUGACAUAGUGCAACGAGAUAUGCUAACGCACUUAUGCAUGCUGGAACUACAGUUGAUACAUUUCUAAGAGAGAAUCAGGAUUUGCUGAGCAGGGCUGCAAACUGGGCGAAAUUCAGUGCACAACCGGGCUUGGUGUUAUUCAUUGAGGCUACCUGCUACAAGGUCGGUCACUGAUGGCUUCUUAUCUUUCUCAGAGUAGGUCUGCUGGUGGGGGUUGUCUCUAUUCCUAAGGUAGUGCCAUCAAUUCCGUGGGUUUGAUUCACGCAAAUCACGAAGAAGGCAUCACAGUCUCUGAGGGUUAGCCUACUCUGUACUAAUGCUGAGGUGAUUUGCCAAUAGGAGGCUUGUAAGGAGAAACUGACUUACGGUUGUUCCAUUUUCUGGAAUAUUUCUUUCCAGCAAUAAGGGCAAAGCCCAUGAAGUCACUAAACAUUUCUUGUUUUUCAUCAACAUCAAGCUCAUCAACAAGAAAUUGGAUAGGACUAGGGAGGUUAGAGGAGCUGGCACCAUCAUUAAGAUUGAUGGGCUCAGCAGAGAUAAGUGCAAGAGGAUCUGUGAUAGGAUGAGAAGACAUGACAUCAGAAGAAGGGCCAGCAUGUCUCCCGCUCAACUUCUUGUUCAUGUUCAGGCUCAACUUCUCGAUCAACUUCAUGCUCACCUUCCCGCUCAAAUUCUUGUUCAUCUUCAGGCUCAACUUCAGCAUUCAAUUCUUGAUCCAUAUCAUAACCAGUAUCGUAAACAACUAAAUUCAUUUCUACAUCCUGCUUUUCAUUAUUAAUAUCAUCAUUCACACCAUCUAAAUUGUAGACAACUAAAUUCAAUUGUAUGUCCAUCUUAUGAGAACCUUCAACCUGAUUAUUACUA